CACAUCUACAACGACACCAACGUCGACGGAGCCUUUGCAAGGACAAGGCAAUCAGGUUGUCCUAGCACCUCAGGAACAGGUGACAACAACUUGGCACCAUUGGACCUUCAAACACCAACCGUCUUUGAGAACGACUACUACAAGAACCUUGUUAGCAACAUGGGGCUCCUACACUCUGACCAAGAGCUCUUCAACGGUGGCGCCACCGACGCGCUAGUGCAAUCAUAUGUUAGUAGCCAAAGCGCGUUUUUUGCAGAUUUUGUGACUGGCAUGAUCAAGAUGGGUGACAUUACACCGUUGACGGGCUCCGCUGGGGAGAUCAGGAAGAACUGCAGAAGGAUUAAUUAACUGAGAGGAUUGGGAGAAUAUUGAGGCUUUUUCUUCAGUCAUAUGUACGUGUUGAGCAACUUCAUGGCUUUAUUUCUCUUAUUUCUAUUCUUUUUUUUCUUUUUGCAAAAUUGUGAAGUCAUUGUGUUGUAUCGAUGUGUUCUCAUCACAUGUCGGUUUGUUUCAUCAAUAAUAAAUGUAUCACUUUUGUCUACUUUUCAUUCUUUUUUAUUUGAAUUACUAUUUUAUAUAUAAUGCAUUGCGGAAGGACUAUAACAACGUCUGCAGUUUGUUCACAUUCAGAGCCUGUUAGGUUGAGUAUUUAGAUAAACUCGCCUGACCAAGCAGCAAUCCAGAUUGUCAAGUGCCUGCUGGUGGCCAAAAAUCGCUGACUUUCAGGUCACGAACCAGUUUGAUGAUACAUGCUACACUCUCCGGUAUGGAGAAUCACUUACGGUAUUUGGCAUGACAAGAUUUCCGCUAAACUAAUAACAAAGCAUAUAUACUGUACAUGUGUAUGCACUUGUGCAGAGAGAGUAGUGUAUAUAUAUAUAUAUAUAUAUAUAUAUAUAUAUAUAUAUAUAUAUAGUUUGUUUAACAACAAUUGACCACUAUAACUAGAUAUCUUCAUGGUUAGUUAUAUAUAUAGCAGUUAUUAGGCGCACAAGGAUAAGAUUUUAUGUUCUGGCCCCAUUCUUGAACAGAUUUUACAUUUGAAUGUCCGCGUAAUUAAGGUCAUUGAAAAAAAGUAGGGCUUUAAGUCAGAAUCUAAUAUUUUGGAAUUAAUCACUAUAAAUACGUUCAUGCAUGUGUGAAACUUGUUUCAUCAGAAAAAUAAAUUAAGUAGCAGAAACUUUUCACUUAUGUGAAUUUCUAUCUGUCAUAUGUGAAUUUGUGUAGCAUAAACUUUUUCAUGUAAGUGAUUGGUUUGUCUGUUAUUAUACGUGAAUUUGUAUCAGUGUUGCGAUGACAUCUCAUAUACGCGACGGUUUUUCCCAUGGUGAAAUCUCCAUCUUAAUUGAUACAAUGCAACUGGAGUUAUAUAUAUUUAUAUAGCAUCAUAGCUUGGGCGGCUUAGCUAGAAAAGUAAAAUAAAACUAAAACACAAAGCUAAAACCUUUGACUACAGCUUUAUUAUUUAUGCAUAGGUGUUAGGGUGCGAUUGUAGUCCCAUCUUUGUCAAACAUAGUGUCUCUAAAGUUAUUAUCUUUGACAAGAAUGAUAGGUUUGGACUCGGACGCCACUUUUGCUUACUAUAAACUGAUAUUCAUCCUCGCUUAUUUUGCAUUUUUUUCAUAUUGAUGCUUGGUGUUAUUUCAUCACAAACAAGAAAGCUAAUCCAACUUGAUCCAGUUUAAAAGGUCCGUCAUCAAAUGCAGCUUAUCAUGCGCUAUAUUGUAGAGCUGCAGGUAUGUUGCUGCUUGUGAUUGCAUGGUGGACUCAAAACAAAGAUUAAGAAGUGAGUAUAAGCCUGAAAUUACGGCUGCAAUUUUAAAUAGAGUUUAUGGAGAACAGUAUCUCAAUUGUUAAGAUUCCUGAAAAUUACCGGAUCACCCCUCUUUCCCUUUUUUUUAUUUUUCAAAAAUCUUUGUUGUUAUAGAUACAUUCACAAGCUACCUAGCAAAUUAAGUAACCAUGUUUGAGUUCGAGCUGAACACAGAUAUAAGAAGGAAUGAAAUUUGUCAAACACUCAAACACAGAAAUCAGGAGAGCUGAUCACUGGUGCUUGUUCAAUUCCUUCAGUCAAUCAGAUACAAAAAUAGGAUAGUUGGCUCAAUCAUAGUAUGGCUAGGUCAUGUAUGUGUUGCUGAUUUUUCCGCAGCUGCCAGCUACAACGUACCUGCAGGAGUCAGCAAUCUUGGCUUUCUCCUUGUCCAUGGGUUCGGUAUCGCUCCAAUCUAGCUGAUUGUUCUGACUAAGGGCUCUGACUAAUCUUUUUUUGCAUUCUCUAAUCAGCUGCUUGCACUGCUAUGAUGUAAGCACUGGCUUAUUUGUUGACAUGCGAAAAAAGGGGGGAAAGUAUAAGGUAUAAAAAGCUUCCUCAAGAAAUGGAACAAAUUAAAUCAAACUAAAUAUCAAUCCUACUGAAAAAAGACAUGUACUUAAUGGCGGCCUUUGUAUAUAAAGUGGUUUUGGGGUCAAGUGUGCCUGAUGCUAACUUUAGAAGGAAAUACCUUUAUUUUGUGAGUUAAUGUUUCAAUUUCUCAUUGUUCUAUUCCGUCCAUACCAAAGUAUAAACAUUUAUAGCAUUUAGUGAAUUUGUCUCAAAAUAUAAGCACUUACCAGAAUUCAAACAUAUAUCUACCCCCACAAUUAAUUAAUUGAUACCAUGAAAAUCACCUUGUUGCUCAACUCGUGAUUGACACUAAUUUGUUGUGAUAUGUGCAACAAUAAAAACACAUUUACAGAAGGCAACAAUUAGCCCAACAUCUGGCCAACAAUUAAGCCAAUUAUGAGUCAUCUUGGUUCCCUUAUCUAAAAAAUGAGUCAUGUUGGCUACAUGGUGAAGGGUACAUUUGGCUUACUGCUGGUUCUAAAAUGAGAAAUUCUUGUAUUUGGUUGGAGAGAGUAGAUGGACAUAGCCAUGGUUGGGCUGCAGAACAUUUGCCUCGUAUGAGUACAUCGAGAGAGCUUCACAACUACGAGGCUCAAGCUUAGGGAUGAGUAGAAAUAGUUGUAUUGCCAUGUCAUUUUCAAGUCUACAAAAUUGCAUUGUCAUGGGAUGUCACCAUGGUUCUACUCCCAAAAUGCCAUUUCAGCUCCCCACACUUGUCCUAGGACUUCAUCUCGAUCUCCAAACUUGUCAAAGGAUGUUGUCUAGAUCCAAACAAGCCACUCGCUCAUAUUCCACAUUUGAGAACUAAGGGAAUCCCUAUGUAAAUAUGGAUGUUGAGACGUUACUGAUUGGUCACUCUUAUAUGCUCUGAAAUAAAGAAAAAUCCUUGAAAAUUCUCACAACACAAUUAGAAAUAGUUGUUUGUUGAUUUUGUACAUUAAUCGUUAUUGAUAAUAGCAUUAUGUCUAUUAUGUUUUCUAAACGAUACCUAUCUCUCAAUUAUCAAAAUACUCUAAAUUAACACCAUGCAUAUAUAUAUUUCAAUCACCUAAAUUAGUCACCUAUUUUUUUUAAAAAAAAUUAUACAUCCAUGCCAUAUGAAAUAUACUCUAAAGAAACCCCUAAAUUUGUAUCUAAAAAUAAUUAAAGGAAUAGGCCUCCUCACCUAUGUAAUUACAAAAAGUUUUAGAAUAACACCUUAAUCUCGAUCUAAAUUGACCACCUCCAGUGCGAAAGAUAAUAUAAAGUAAAAAUAUCUACAUUAGGCAUCUCCAUCACUAUUAAUAUUUAUAAUAACUUCCUCUUACGCUUCUAUUAAAAUAAUCUAAAGUAAAUCCUAAAUUUGCAUAUAAAUUACUCACCUUUGGUCUUACUAAAAAUAUCUUGAAUUGAUUCUUGCCAAGUUUUCUUUUAGCUUACAUACAUAUGUCAUUAAUGAAAAUACCUCAAACUACUUAUAUAUAUGAAUUGUAAUUAUCAAUUUUCCUUAUAAAUUAUCAAUUUUAAAAUUUUCAAAUUUGGAAACUAACUCAAGUAAAUAUACAUGACUUGUGUUAGCAACUCAGCAUUCACACCACAUACACAUGUAAGCAUGGUGCAAUGAUCAUAUCUAUGCAUCAAACACAUAUGUUAAGAUUUCGACUAACACAUAGAAAACCCACAUAGAGGAGAACACUAAGAAUAGGGAUGAAAAAGUGUAUAAAAGAAUUGGUAAGUAAAGUGUAUGACAACAAGGCAAAGAUAAGAGCAUGUGCAUGUAUAUGAGUUGCAUGUUAUUAGAAUCUUAAUACUCCUAACUGGAGGUCUUCAAUUAAGAGAGCCUCAACGUUAGGAGGUCUUCAAUAGAGCCUCCACGUUAAUCCUCACAUGACACAAUAGGAAAAAUAUAAACCCUAGAAAUUCUCAUAGAAAUUAGAAUAAUUUCACUAUCAAUUUGUAGACUCGUAAUCAAAAUUGCCAAUAAUAAGCUUUUGGAUCUAUAUUUUUAUGUAGUUAUCAGAUCUAUUCUAUUUCCUAAAAAAUUGCCCACAUCUAUGGUUCUAAAAAACAUAAAGUAACCCCUAAAUUUACUUUUAAAUAACCAACACUUGCUAUUAUAAAACAUAAUUUAUAGUAAGCCCCUAAAUUUUCAUUUCAAUUAUCCCACAAAUGCUAUAUGAUAAAUUUGAGAUGUUAUUUAGAUAAUUUUAUACAUUUUAACUGAAACAUUAUGACUUAUCAAUACUAAGCAUUCAUUUUUUUAUACUACACAUACAAUCCUUUCAUAGAAGAAAUCCAACAUCUAAGUGCUAUGUUGCAUGGCAAAAUAAUUGUUUGUGUUGCUUUAGUGACUAAGAGUACAAGACCUACAAUCAUGUCCAUUGUUAAAUAAAACAUAUAAAAUGGAAAUUGUAAAUAAAAUAUACUAGAAGCACAAUAUCAACUUAACAUGUGGAUAAAAAUUGCAAUAACUAAUAAGAUCAAAAUUUGAUCCAUUAUAAUAAAAAUAAGGAUGUAAUAACCAGAGCCAUAACUACUUAAGCUACGAUUUGAACUAAACACAUGUAAAUAAAAAUAGUGUCACUGAUAAUUAUCACAACCACGAACAUAAUAUAGAGUAUAUAAAUAAUGGGUAUUUUUGUUAAGAAAUAAUGAGAGAAAGAGGGAGAUAAUAAAAAAUAUAAGCAAUUCUGAUUGUUCUAUCUACUAAUUUUUUUCUUCACAGAAACUUUUAAUACUUAUGUAACAUAAAAUUCUAGGCCGUACCGGAGCAUGGGUUGAUGCAUAUGGGCUUGUGUAAAGAAAUUAGAGACCGCAACAAUAAGCAACUUUGAUUUAGGUUAGUGUUUUGUCAUAGUUGUUUGGUGGCGACCCACCUUCUCUCUUUAAUUAAUGUGAGUAGAAAUGCCUAAAACAUAUUUUCAGCGAAGCUAUACAUACUUGUAUUACUUAAAUAAUAUAUAUCAUCCUCGAUCAAAAUGGUCUCUAUAUUGAAAAGUAGGCAGCAUUGCAUUUGGAACCUUCUCCUUUGAAUAUUCUCGAUCGCUUUAUUUAGAAGCAAGAUGGAGAGCAUAGCAGCUAGAACUGCUGAAAUGAAAAAAUUUUGGUACUCGAACGACUUGGGUCGCAACUGGGUUGUUGGAUGCGUGAACUGCACGCCUGCCUCCUUGUAGCAUGGAAAAUUCAGUGGACUCUUGUCGACAUUCUUGUAAAAUUAUUGUGAAUCUACUGUGUACUCAAAAGUCAAAAUACAAAGUCCUCGUCCAGGCAAUAUAUAUACAUAAUACAUGCAAAUUAAAUUAAGCUUCUUCACAACACCUACUGCUCUGACCUUGAGGGCUUAUAUGCUUGUCCUAUUCAGUAUAUAUUCACAACAACUCUUGCAAGCAAAACAUCCACAACAUGCAUGCAUCUCUGGAAGGUUGGGGCGGCUGUUUGACUCCUUUUCAUAGAUUUAGUCUGACAAACAAAAUAAAUGAGGGCAACAAAACAUACAAACAGAUAUUUCCAUAUUUACAGUACCAGGGAGAGAGAGAGAGUUGUUUGGAAAUGUACUAUUAUAUGUGAUCUUGAUGGAGCGUAGUCAAAUUGUAUAGUUUAUUAUUAAAUACAAGUAUGAACAUAGUUCUCUCCAAGGCAGCCACACUACCAGUGCCAAGCAUGUCUCUGAAUUAUUUCCAUGAUGGUGAUGUGAGUAGAUAUGUUUGACCCUUGGCCUCUGAGAAUGCUUCUGAUCGAGUAUGGACUAUGCAUGGUAGCACAAUGUGCAGAAGGAGCCUCGCUCUGAAUGCUGAUGUGAGCAGAUAUGUAAUUCUGUCUCUGAAUGGUUCCAUCCAUAUAUCUGCAACUGUUGAUAGCUAGAUGAUCAAAAUCUUGAUCAGUUCAGCGGAAAUAAAUUAAAUACUGGGUAGGAGUCGUAGCUUCGCCGAACCGUUCCUAUUAGGACGCUAUGCACGGGUAGGCCGGGUUGCUAGGGUAACUUUUAUCAAACCGUGUUUCUAUUUGUUGCAUUGCUUGGAGACAAUACAACAUACGUCGGAUUGACUAAAAGCAAAACUCCAUGCUUGCACGCUUUCCUAAAGUACAGACAGUCUCCAUACAUACACAGUAGCAAUGUGAAAGGCGCGAGUGAUUCCGAUCCUUGCACUACCGGACAGCAGGGGUUUGCCGUGUGUUUGGCGCACACGGCAAAGCCCAAAUUACACACGGCGAAGGCUUUGCCGUGUGUUGCUCACGGCAAAGAACACACGGCAAACUCUUUCACGGUGAAUCCUAUUUUUACUCACGGCCAAAUUAUGGGCACACGGCGAAACUUUGCCGUGAGUCAAUCUUGACACACGGCAAAGAAAAGAUAACGAACGGUGGGAGACGGCCUAACGGCAGGGUUUGCCGUGUGUCACCAUGUAGACACACGGCAAAGUCUCAAUGUUUGCCGUGUGCCCAAAGAAAAGAUAACGAACGGUGGGAGACGGCCUAACGGCAGGGUUUGCCGUGUGUCACCAUGUAGACACACGGCGAAGUCUCAAUGUUUGCCGUGUGCCAGGGUUGGGCACACGGCAAACCCCAACGAAAAAAAUUUAAAGUCUUGAACUUUUUUGCGGCCCAUGAGAUUCGAACCUAUGACCUCCCUCUCGUGUUUCUUCACUCUUAGCCACUGCACCACACUAUGACUUCUGUUUAUAUUGCAUUUCGGUUGCUCAAAUAUUAUAUCAAAUUAUGUGUAAAUUGAUAAUUUGAGGUCCUAAAUAAUUUCAAAUCAAAAAGUUGUCAACUACAAAGUUUCAUAACUUUUUGGGAUCUACAAUUUUCAUUUAGGGAGUUUCUUCAUCCGAGGUCGUUUACAAAAUUUAAAUUUCAAAUUUGAGAAAUUCAAACGUAGUUUUUGCAUGACAAGAUGAUUCCAAAAUAAAAAGUUGUCAACUACAAAGUUUCAUAACUUUUUGAGAUCUACAAAGUUUAUUUAGAGAGUUUUUCCAUCCGAGGUUAUUUUAAAAAUUGAAAAUUUAAAAUUUUCAAUUAAAAUGCUGAAAAUAAUUAAGAAAUAGUAAACAAUUCCAAAAAAUUUCUAAACUUGGACACGACACAACCUAUAUGGUGCAGUGCCUAUAGAAAAAGUUUUAAAAUCAAAUUCAAAUAUAAAAGUCAAAUCUACUCCAACUCAUGCUUCUUCACUCAUAUCUCUAUGGAACUUCUUCGAAGAUUGUCUGGUUUCUAUACAUCAUACAUGACAACUUGUUCGAAAUCUUUCCAAACUUUUUUUAUGGCCUCUAUGUAUGAUAACAUGACAUAUGUAUAAGUUUCAGGAUUUACGGAAUAAAAUAGUAUUUAUUAGAAUUUUCGAAAUGUACCGACACACGUUCCGCGUCGUGUCUCCUAACCACGGCAUUCAAAAGUCAUUUCCGUUUCGAAUGUGUGUUCUCAAACAGGGUUGGGUAACAUGAAUAUUAUUUUUUUGAUAUUUUUUUCCAACUAUUUCACUGACUCGUAGUUCAAAUUUGAACGUAACCGGAAAAAUAAAAAUAAAUAAUGUUAAUUGUAAAAUAUAGCAAACAUGUUUCAAAUUUUAUGAAAUUUGAGUAUGGAGUUACAAAUGGUGAAUGUGUAGAGAAUAAAAAAUUUGGAGGACAAAAACUGAAAAAAAAGAUAAAUUAUUUGCCGUGUGUCGCACCCGUGGCACACGGCAAAGUUUGUGUUUGCCGUGUGCCAGCCUCAAGCACACGGCAAACCCAGGCUUUGCCGUGUGCCUAACGGCCGCACACGGCAAACGUUGACGGCUGGAGGUGGGCGUUAGCGUAGGUUAGCUUUUGUCGUGUGUCCUGUUUUUGCCGUGUGUUGCUCACGGCAAAAGUUUGAGUUCGCCGUGUGUCUGGUGUUUGCCGUGUGCAACACACGGCAAAGGACAGAUAUACCGUGUGCCUAGCGUUUGCCGUGUGCUUGGAUUAGACACACGGCAAACUCGACCUUUGCCGUGUGUUGCUCACGGCAAACGGGCGGACACACGGCAAAGGCCGGCUCUCCGGUAGUGUUGCAUUGCUGUUGGGCAAGCAACCUUGAUUGUCGGCUUUUCAACUCGUCGAUCGAAGUCCUACAUAGUAGUGAUGUGAAGCCGGUGAUUUACCUAAUCAUAUAUAUAUAUAUAUAUAUAUAUAUAUUUAUGCAUUCAUGCAUGCAUGGAGUGCUUGCUAUAUACUGCCUAGCUAGCUUCAAGCUUAUACUAACAGACUUAGGCCCGGUUUGGUUUGUGCUGAUUUUUUUUAGCACAUAUCCCAUCAAAUAUUUGGACAUAUGCAUGGAGUACUAAGACCUUAUUUAGUUUCCUUAUGAAAACUUUUUGGGACUCUAUAGCACUUUCAUUUGUAUGUGUUAAUUAUUGUCCAAGUAUGAACUAAUUAGUCUCAAAAGAUUUAUCUCGCAAAUUACAGGCAAACCAUAUAAUUAGUUUAUUUAAUAUAUAUUUAAUGCUCCAUACAUAUGCCGUAAAAUUCGAUGUGACAGAUAAUCUUGAAAAGUUUUUGGCUUUUAAGAAGAACUAAACAAGACCUAAAUAUAUUAUUUAAACUAUUUACGAAACUAAAAAUACGGAGACAAAUUUUUUAAGCUUAGUUAGUCUAUAAUUAAACACUAGUUAUCAAAUAAAAUAAAAAAACUACAAUAUUCGCUAAAUUUUAACACCUCCAACCAACCACCGGAUAAGUCCACGGACUGAGUCCAGGAGUUCCUGCUAUAAAUAUGGAUGUCCUGAUGUCCAUGUUCCCCAGCAAGCUAGCUACCUCCACCUGCAAGCAAUACACCUCCCUGCACUCGGGAGGCUAGACUAGCUAGCUUGUGUACGAGAUGGCUGCUCCAUCAGCCCCGAGCGGCGGCAGAUCAGGCGUCAUCGCUGUCCUCUUGCUUCUUGUGUUGCUGGCCGGCACCGGCACCUCGUCGGCGCAGCUGUGCACCAGCUUCUACUCCCACUCGUGUCCCGGCGUGUACGACGCCGUCAGGUCGGUGUUGCAGGCCGCCAUCGCCAGGGAGCAGCGCAUGGGCGCCUCCAUCCUCCGCCUCUUCUUCCACGACUGCUUCGUCCAGGGCUGCGACGCCUCGCUGCUGCUGGAUGACACGCCCAGUUUCCAGGGCGAGAAGAUGGCCAACCCCAACAACGGCUCCGCCAGAGGAUUCGAGGUCAUCGACGCCAUCAAGUCCGCCGUCGACAAGGUCUGUCCCGGCGUCGUCUCCUGCGCUGACAUCCUCGCCAUCGCCGCAAGAGACAGCGUCGUCAUCGUAAGCCUACUAGCUAGCCGCCCUUGUAGUAUAUAUUCUUAAUUUGAAUCACUUUCAGAGCUAGAAAGAUGCAUGAGACUGAACCUGCAACUGAUGGAUGCAUUGCAUGCACACUGACACAUGCAGCUGGGUGGUCCGAGCUGGGACGUCAAGGUCGGGAGGAGGGACUCGAGGACGGCGAGCUUCAGCGGCGCCAACAACAACAUCCCGCCGCCGACGUCGGGCCUCGUCAACCUCACCUCGCUCUUCGCCGCGCAAGGCCUCUCCCAAAAGGACAUGGUCGCGCUAUCUGGUGCGUAUUUUAUUAUACAAUAUUCCCACUACGACAGUACGUGGUAAUUAACUACUAGCUGUAAAUAAAUGCAAUGCUAAAUCUCCAAGAAAACUUUGUCUCUCAUUUUUUUUUUCGAAGAACUUUGUCUCUCAACUUAAUUUGGAGAUAUAAUUCUCCACACUGUUUCUCAACCACUAGCUCAACAUAGAUAUUUGGGAGAUAAGUUUAUGUGCUAGAUUAAAUUAAGUGGUAUAGUAUAGAUCAUUCAUUUCCUCCACUCCAUUUUGUAACUUUGUACGUAUCAUGUUCAAUUCGCUCCAAAUCUAAGUCACUAAAUAUUUUCAUGUAUGUGUCGCUUUGCCUCUUUUGCCAGGAGCCCACACCAUUGGCUUAGCACGCUGCACCAACUUCAGAGCCCACAUAUACAAUGACACCAACAUCGACGGCAGCUUCGCAAGAUCAAGGCAAUCGGUUUGCCCUAGGACCUCAGGUUCAGGUGACAAUAAUUUGGCGCCUCUAGACCUUCAAACCCCAACUGUCUUUGAGAACAACUACUACAAGAACCUUGUUUACAAGAAGGGGAUUCUACACUCUGACCAAGAGCUCUUCAAUGGUGGAUCAACCGAUGCGCAAGUCCAAUCAUACGUUAGUAGCCAGAGCGCGUUCUUUGCGGACUUUGUGACUGGCAUGAUCAAAAUGGGUGACAUCA
rnacentral:lncRNA from 1 species